GGGAAUCUUCCACAAUGGACGCAAGUCUGAUGGAGCAACGCCGCGUGAGUGAAGAAGGUUUUCGGAUCGUAAAGCUCUGUUGUUGGUGAAGAAGGAUAGAGGCAGUAACUGGCCUUAAUUUGACGGUAAUCAACCAGAAAGUCACGGCUAACUACGUGCCAGCAGCCGCGGUAAUACGUAGGUGGCAAGCGUUGUCCGGAUUUAUUGGGCGUAAAGCGAGCGCAGGCGGAUUGAUAAGUCUGAUGUGAAAGCCUUCGGCUCAACCGAAGAACUGCAUCAGAAACUGUCAAUCUUGAGUGCAGAAGAGGAGAGUGGAACUCCAUGUGUAGCGGUGGAAUGCGUAGAUAUAUGGAAGAACACCAGUGGCGAAGGCGGCUCUCUGGUCUGUAACUGACGCUGAGGCUCGAAAGCAUGGGUAGCGAA
rnacentral:rRNA from 1 species